rnacentral:lncRNA from 10 species
GGCAAUUUGGGAAAUGGAAUCUUUAUGUUGCUGGGUAUUUUCUCCUUCCACACCUCCUUCUCCUUGCUGGACAGGAGGGGAGGGCAGAAGACGUGUUUGUGGCCACAUUCCCGGUGUGGCCCGCCUGGACAGGAGCCAGGGUGCACACUGACCUGCACAGCCUCUGGCCUCUGUCCCUGGGCCUGAGAGGCAGGAGCAAGGGGCCUGUCCUCACUCUGAAUCCAACUGCUGGUGACUCAGGGCACCCUGCUGGACCCUCCAGGAGAAGUUGGGGCCCACGUUUCUAGGCUGCCCACUCAUCCAAACCUCCCUCCAUGUCCCUGACCAAAGCAUUUCGCAGAUCUGGGUCCUCUGGUGUGUGAGGCUCCUCCCAGCCCAUGAGCAUUGGAAAAUGUCUACAAGAUCUUUGCCAUUUUAGGUUCUACCGAGGCUAAAGAAUGUAUGUUUCCUCUGCUUAGACUUAAGUUUUUGAGUAACUUUAUAGACACUUUGGCAUUUUGGCUGAAAGGGCAUGUGCAGUAACUGAAUAUGACUUGUGCACUGUUUCAGUGCCAGUGGGUCACAUGCAGGGGAGUCAGAGCCAAGGUGGAUGAGGCUGGGAUAUCUACAUGCUUGGUGGGGAGUUGGAGUCAGGGUGGAUGAGGCUGGGAUAUCUACAUGCUUGGUGGGGAGUCGGAGCCAGGGUGGAUGAGGCUGGGAUAUCUACAUGCUUGGUGGGGAGUCGGAGUCAGGGUGGAUGAGGCUGGGAUAUCUACAUGCUUGGUGGGGAGUCGGAGCCAGGGUGGAUGAGGCUGGGAUAUCUACAUGCUUGGUGGGGAGUCGGAGUCAGGGUGGUUGAGGCUGGGAUAUCUACAUGCUUGGUGGGGAGUCGGAGUCAGGGUGGUUGAGGCUGGGAUAUCUACAUGCUUGGUGGGGAGUUGGAGUCAGGGUGGAUGAGGCUGGGAUAUCUACAUGCUUGGUGGGGAGUCGGAGCCAGGGUGGAUGAGGCUGGGAUAUCUACAUGUUUGGUGGGGAGUUGGAGUCAGGGUGGAUGAGGCUGGGAUAUCUACAUGCUUGGUGGGGAGUCGGAGUCAGGGUGGUUGAGGCUGGGAUAUCUACAUGCUUGGUGGGGAGUCGGAGCCAAGGUGGAUGAGGCUGGGAUAUCUACAUGCUUGGUGGGGAGUUGGAGUCAGGGUGGAUGAGGCUGGGAUAUCUACAUGCUUGGUGGGGAGUCGGAGCCAGGGUGGAUGAGGCUGGGAUAUCUACAUGCUUGGUGGGGAGUCGGAGCCAGGGUGGAUGAGGCUGGGAUAUCUACAUGCUUGGUGGGGAGGAGGAGCCAAGGUGGAUGAGGCUGGGAUAUCUACAUGCUUGGUGGGGAGUUGGAGCCAAGGUGGAUGAGGCUGGGAUAUCUACAUGCUUGGUGGGGAGUUGGAGUCAGGGUGGAUGAGGCUGGGAUAUCUACAUGCUUGGUGGGGAGUCGGAGUCAGGGUGGUUGAGGCUGGGAUAUCUACAUGCUUGGUGGGGAGGAGGAGCCAAAGUGGAUGAGGCUGGGAUAUCUACAUGCUUGGUGGGGAGUUGGAGCCAAGGUGGAGGAGGCUGGGAUAUCUACAUGCUUGGUGGGGAGUUGGAGUCAGGGUGGAUGAGGCUGGGAUAUCUACAUGCUUGGUGGGGAGUUGGAUCCAAGGUGGAUGAGGCUGGGAUAUCUACAUGCUUGGUGGGGAGUUGGAGUCAGGGUGGUUGAGGCUGGGAUAUCUACAUGCUUGGUGGGGAGUUGGAGUCAGGGUGGAUGAGGCUGGGAUAUCUACAUGCUUGGUGGGGAGUUGGAGUCAGGGUGGUUGAGGCUGGGAUAUCUACAUGCUUGUUGGGGAAGAGGAGCCAAAGAUGUGGAUUUCCUCUGUCUCCACAUCCUUGGGCAAGGACUGGUGAUCAGCUGCUGCUGUCUUAUUUUAUUUGCUUCUCCAGUAAAUGAACUUUAUAUAGUUGGUAGCUUGGCGUUUUCCAUUUUGCAUUACUGAAAUUUCAAUAAAUAGUGCUUUAGUUAGAUGUAAAUCUCUGUCAUUUGUGGCAGAGGAACUUAAAUGUCGGCCUGCAUUUUAGGGCACCUUUUUGUAUAGAGCAGAGAGAAGGGAAGUGCUGUCCCCCAGUGGCCUGGACCAGGCGGAGCCCAGCCUGUUGAUGAUGCAUUGUGUGUGCUUGGCAUGUGUGACGUGGCAAGGGAUUCAUGUUCUCUGUGGGCAGCUGCCUGAGUAGUAGACAUGUGAGGCCCCUUCCCGGGCAUUUUGUCCUGUCCUCAGGACAUGAAGAAAGCAGCUAGGCAAAGGCACUCUUUGCAGCUUUAAAUGGCCUAGAGUUACCCCCAGAAAAACAAUUCUACUUCUGUUCCACUUCUGUCCAAUUAAAACAAGUUUGUUCAUUUUAUUUUAGGAGCAAUUUGCCAUUGUUUUUGUGCAUUCGGCAGUUGUUUAUUUGCUGCUUGCAGUUGUGGUUGUUCGUGGUAUCAUUCACGAAUACAAUUUUGAACGAGGAAGAGCUGUGAUGACAAAUGCACUAAGAGACACCACUGUGGCUCUCCACAAAUUAGCCAGAACAUAAGGGUGGGAGGAGCCUGUCUUUCCCUGGCAGCACAGGGCUGCCUGGUCUUAAGAAGUCUGUAGUUGAGAACACAGCAUGUGGUUACAUGUAUACAUUAUUUGAAGGUGCACAAAGCAAAGGGAAGCCAACCACAAAAUGCCAGUUGUGCUAGUAGCAUGUGCUUCUUUAUGAAUGAAAGAACAUACGCAUUUUUGGUAUUAAUUAUUUAUAUAUUUUAUACAUGAAAUCUCAUUUGACAGGUUCCCUGUGACUCCACUGGGGAAUUCAGGGUGGGAGAGGUAGUGCCCCCAUCUUCAUAAGAGGGAGCAGACUUAGAGACAUAGCUGUAGAGAUUACACAGCUGGUAAGAAGUGGUUCCUAGAUGCUAGCCCUGGGGACCCGGCUCUGGUGUGGCGACAGCGCCUUUCACACCUGUAUCCUGAGAGUCGUGGGAAUGGCAUGUAGUUUAAAGUACAGAGAUGGGGGCAUGGAGUCAUUCCUAGGCUCCCAGGGAAGAGCAGGAUGUUUUUGAUAUGGCCGAUUAGGAAGAAUGGGCACUUUGAUCUCUGCAAAGAGAGCCUGCGCUUCAGUGACUAAGUAGGAUUUGACCCUUCAACCUUGACUCUAGUAGAUGGCUCAGUUAAAGGCUACGUGGUGAUUCUUAGGAGGCUUUUAAAUUAGAUAGAUGGAUUUGUCCCUGGAGAGACAAAGCUGAAAUCCUAUAUCACAUAGAUGUUAUAGACCGAGGAGGGGGGAUUUACCUACAGUUAUUUAAGCUUUUAAAGUAGAAAAAAGGUCCAGUUGAAAUGAUAUAUAACAACAGGCUAUCUGGAGAUGGAUAUAUUGUGAAUAAAUAAUUAUUCUACAUUCUCUUAAUUUGGCAGCAAAAAUAUAAUUAGGUUUUAUAAUUUCUGAUAUAAACAAUAUAAACAUUGUUAUGGUGUACAUAAAAUUUUUUUAGAUUAGUAAGAAAACCAUACGUAUAAACAUGUGUUAAGUCUGAGGAAAGAAUUACGUCGUUCAUUGGCUAUUUGCGAUUUUAAUGCACCUUAUAUCACUUGGCCCAAAUACUCUUAGGGCAGAAGCAUAAUGCUUACAUUCACAUUCUCAAAUGACCCAAGAAAGAGAAAAGAUUUGGACCCUUAAUGAGUUGUAGAUCUCAUAUAUAAACCUUUACUUCUGUUAAAGGAAGAAUGCUAGUGUAGGAUGUAUUUAGCAAUGAUUAGAUUUAUUGAGCACUUUUGUGUUAUGCAUGAAAAAUCAAAUAGAAUAGCGGUAGCUAAGAGAAAUUCAUUCCAAAAGUGUGCUGGCUUCAUAAAUGAUUUUGUGAUGUGUGUCCUCUUUUUCAGUAGGGUCUGUAACAGGAUAGUGUGGUUUUUAGUAGAUAGUAUUGCAUUUCUAAAGUACGUAAGCUUGCAGAUAAUUUUCAAAGGGAUAUCAAUUAGUUUCCCAGUAUAACACACA